CCUUCAGGGAUGAAGACAGGCAAUCUCAAUGGGAGAAAUGCUGUGGGGUCCCCUAUUUUGUGGGGGUACAGGGGCUCCAGGGUCUGAACUGAUUGGCAUAUUUGAGACUAAGCAAAGGAACUCUUUCAGGUGAUUUGAUUUGCUUAGGGAUCUGGGUUUGCUCUCUGGUGGUGAUUGGCUUCUGGCUGCUGUCCUCGAGCUCUGCGGAGCAUGCUGGCCUGCGGUGAAUGACCUCUGGUCACUGUCCACAAAGUGUGAGGUCCCUAUUCUGUCCUGCCUCAGAAUGUUUUCCUGCCUGGCCAAGAGUGGCUCAGCUGUGGCACUGCAAGCCAACAAGUGGGAGUUUAGGGGAUGGAGGAUUGUAAUCAGGGCAAGAAGUUUUCGUCAGCCAUCACCUGCAUAGAGUGAGCAGAACAAAAGAUCUCUCAACAAAUACCCGUGUGAAGAAAUGCAAAGGACAAGAACCGGACAAGAUGAACUCCUAAACCCAGGCCAGCCUGAACAGAUGGUGAAAAUAGAUCAGACUCCACCACCAUCUGCGCUGCUCUGACACUGUAAGCCCACCCCACCCCUGCCCAGGAUCCGAAGGGGCAGAAAGAGAGGAAGGGAGAAAUUGUAAGUUCAACCUGAAAUUGGUUAAUAUUAAGUUUCUCCAUUCAGUGGGAUG
rnacentral:lncRNA from 1 species